GACGGAGGGUGCGAGCGUUAAUCGGAAUUACUGGGCGUAAAGCGCAUGUAGGCGGCCGAACAAGUCAGGUGUGAAAUCCUCGGGCUUAACCUGGGAAGUGCACUUGAUACUGUCCGGCUAGAGUUUGGCAGAGGAAAGUAGAAUUCCCGGUGUAGCGGUGAAAUGCGUAGAUAUCGGGAGGAAUACCAGUGGCGAAGGCGGCUUUCUGGGCCAAUACUGACGCUGAGGUGCGAAAGCUAGGGGAGCGAAUGGG
rnacentral:rRNA from 1 species